rnacentral:rRNA from 1 species
UACGUAGGGUGCAAGCGUUGUCCGGAAUUAUUGGGCGUAAAGGGCUCGUAGGCGGUUUGUCGCGUCGGGAGUGAAAACUCAGGGCUUAACCCUGAGCCUGCUUCCGAUACGGGCAGACUAGAGGUAUGCAGGGGAGAAUGGAAUUCCUGGUGUAGCGGUGAAAUGCGCAGAUAUCAGGAGGAACACCGGUGGCGAAGGCGGUUCUCUGGGCAUUACCUGACGCUGAGGAGCGAAAGCCAGGGGAGCGAACGGG